rnacentral:rRNA from 1 species
UUCAAAAAUGGUCUCAGUUCGGACUGUAGGCUGCAACUCGCCUACACGAAGUUGGAAUUGCUAGUAAUCGUGGAUCAGCAUGCCACGGUGAAUACGUUCCCGGGUCUUGUACACACCGCCCGUCACACCAUGGGAGCUGGUAACACCCGAAGUCAGUAGUCUAACCGCAAGGAGGACGCUGCCGAAGGUGGGAUUAGCGACUGGGGUGAAGUCGUAACAAGGUAUC